UUGAUUGUCGAUGCUGAACUAACAUUCAAGAGUCUGCUACAACAGAAUCAAUCAGAUCCCCAAUCUCUGAACGUAUUGGAAAAUGUCAUAAAAAGUAUUGAAAAUAUUCCAGGUGUUAUGAAAAACAAAACGACAGCAGAUUGGCAAGUGACAUCUAUAACCACUGAGAUAUUGUCAACAUCUACUGGCUCUACCUUGACAGAGCGACCAUCCGUUUCGGAGUCGACCACUAGCACUGUGUCUAUGUCCACCAUUGUUAGUGGAGAAACACUAUCAACCAUUGAACAACCAUCUACUUCCAGUGAAUUCUUUGGCAGCGGUGAACAACCAACAACCACCUAUGAACAACCCCUAGUGCCCUCUGAACGGUCAUCUGCUACUACUGAAGUCUUCGCUACCAUUAGUGAACAAACAACAAGCACUGACUAACCAUCCUCUGCCACUGAAUUACCAUUCCCGAUCAAGCAUCAACUUCAUUAGCUGCAGUGACAUCUAAGAUAUAAUCGACAUUUACUGAGUUAUUAUUCACCUCGACGGAACAACCAUCCAAGAUCACAGGGAUAUCUACUUCAACGGAAUAAUCUACAGCGGAAGGACACACAACAGAAUAGCACUGAGUUAGAAGCAAACACAAAGAAACGAACCACCAAACAAACACUGCCAUCAGCUACCAGCGAAGAAAUAACCACCAUCAGGGGCGGGGGUCAUCCACAAACAUUCAUUCAACUUCCACAACCAUAGAAUCAUUCUCUAUCACCACUGACCAACCAUCAUCCUCCACUGACCAACCGUCAGCAACAAUUGAACAAUAAUCCCUUAUCACUGAGUCAUUCCAUGUCACUAGCGAACACUCAUCAACAACCAUUAUCUAAUCAUCCAUUGCCAUUAUAUCACACACUACCAUCUGUGAAUUUUUAUUGAGAACCAUUGAUCAACGAUCGCCUGAUUUACCUCUCUCAUCUAUUAAAUUCCCUGAACCAUUCACUGUCAUCAUUGAUCAACCAUUUACAAUCAUUGUGCUGUAAUUUGAUUCACUGAACUGCUACAAAGAAUACCAAAUAGAGAAACUGUAUAACGGCACACAAGCACUGGAACGGAAACUGCAAACGUUCAUGACUACUGAAAGAGAAUUUGUUCAACCAUUGUUAAUCAAUCACAGGAAACGAAGCUCUAUGACCAUUGUUAAACAUCGGAUUUAAAAUAAAAACAUCUUACAACCACUGUUGAAAUUUGAAAAGAGCGUUUCAACGUUCGGAGGGUCGCAGAGCACAACAACAUUUGAGCAUUACUCUCUGUGAUUAUUUCUUUCUUUAUUCGUAAAACUACGUUAUUCCAUCGUUCGUCAAAGACAGAGAGAAAAGAUGUAAUGGUCGUAUGAAACUGCCUCAACGGUUGCAUCGCAUUGGUUCAACAAUUAUGUAGGACAUUAUCAAUGGCGGCCGUAAGAAACUGUAUGAAAUGUUCUACUAAACUAUCAUAUAGAAAAACAAACCAAUAAAAAUACUCAACAACACCACCACCAACAACAAAGAACAAAUAAAUAUUUAGAAAAAACAAUAAACUCGGUUCAUCAAUAAAGAAAUAAUGGCAUUCGUCAGAAAGGCAUCGAAUUGUUUCGAUUACCUCCCAACCAAAUAUAGAUUUGUCUUGUCAUUUGUUCAGUUGUAAAACUGUAAUGUUGCUAUGGUGAUCGACGGUGAUUGUGAUGGGAAACGAAAUCAAAAGCUCUAAAGACAGCAAUUAAGCUUUCAACGCAGUGUUAUCGUUAUGAGCGUAAGAACCAUCUAAAUAUUCCAUUGUAUUACUUAAGCUGAAUAAACUGACAAUUUCUCAAAUAAGAAGAACAAAGUUGUUUCAAGUAAUUUAUAUAUAAACACUC
rnacentral:lncRNA from 1 species